UACGUAGGGGGCAAGCGUUGUCCGGAUUUAUUGAGCGUAAAGAGCGUGUAGGCGGCCAGACAGGUCAGCUGUGAAAACUCGAGGCUCAACCUCGAGACGUCGGUUGAAACCGUCUGGCUAGAGUCCGGAAGAGGAGAGUGGAAUUCCCGGUGUAGCGGUGAAAUGCGCAGAUAUCGGGAAGAACACCCGUGGCGAAGGCGGCUACUCUCGGGACGGUACUGGACGCUGAGACGCG
rnacentral:rRNA from 1 species